rnacentral:rRNA from 1 species
AUGGGAGCUCGGGCGCAGGAUCUCUGGAACAAUUGGUCCAUCCAGAUCCUGGUGCUCCUCAGCCUCGGCCUCCAGUUCGCCCUCUUCCUCCUCGCCGGCAUCCGCAGGCGUGGAGCGCACCCAUUGCUGUGGUUCUUGCUCUGGCUGGCGUACCAGCUGGGCGACUACACGGCGACGUACGCCCUCGGCCACCUCUCCCUCAAGGGCGCGGCGCGGGAGCACCCCAUCGUCGCGUUCUGGGCGCCGUUCCUCCUGCUUCACCUCGGAGGCCCGGACAACAUCACCGCCUACUCCCUGGAGGACAACAAGCUCUGGAAGCGCCACCUGCUACACGUGGUGCUUCAGGUGCUGGCGGCCGUGUACGUCCUCUACGAGCAUGUCUCCGGAAGGGGGCCGCUGCUCCAGCUCGCCUCCGUUCUGAUGUUGGCCGUCGGUGCGGUCAAGUACGGUGAGAAGACGUGGGCGCUCAUGCUCGGCAACCUGGACAGCAUCCGAGGCGCCGUCAAGAAGCAACCACCUGCCACGCACGGGCACUUUCACCCCCAGGAUCACGUGCUCAAGGGUGGAGUGUUGGACGAGGAGUCCCUUGUGCGACGGGCUCACUCGCUCUUCCACAUCUGCAAGCGUGCCAUAGUUGACUGUCCGGUGAUCGAAGACGCCUCAGACACCGCCAAGAUGGUGGACGUGGUGGAGUUCUGGCCAUUGAUGGAGACCGAGCUCUCCCUAAUGUACGACAUGCUGUACACCAAGGCAGCCGUCAUCCACACCUGGUUCGGCUACUCGGUACGUCUCGUCUCCCCGCUCGCCAUUGCUGCCUCGCUGCUUCUGUUUAGGCUCAUUGGCAAGGACGUCGCCCACCGCGGGGUCGACGUCGUCAUCACCUACGUCUUGUACGGUGGUGCCUUGUUCAUGGAGACGACGGCGCUGCUCAACGCGCUAGGCUCCUCCUGGACAUUUGCCUUCCUGAGUACCACGAGAUGGCGCUGGCUUCGGACCGCGGCUCUGUGCAAUGAAAGGUGGGACCGGCUUAGGCGUUUGGUCGCAUAUCUUCACCAUCUUGUGAGGCUAGGAGGAGGAAGCCGGUACAAGUCAAGAAGGUGGUCACGUACCAUGGGGCAGUUCAACAUGCUGCACUAUUGCACCCGCUCCGACGGUGCAUUCACGAGGCCUCUGCUCGGCAGGUUGGCCAGGAUGGUAGGACUGGGACUCAAUGAGUGGUGGAACAGGGAGCAUUACUCAUGGGCCAUUGAGAUGCCCGUACAUGUGAAGGAUUGCAUAUCCGAUCACAUGAAAAGAGUGUACAAGAAAGGGGUUGUGAACUCACUGGGCAUGCUCAGGAACAGGUGGGGCGAGGAACCACUGGUUCUCAGGAAACUCUUCCAUGGCAUACUCAAAGACUCACUCGGUGUUGAGUUCCAGGAGUGCAUCAUCAUCUGGCACAUCGGCAGUGAUGUUUUUCUCGCCAAGAGCCAGCGGGCCAAGGACGAAGAUGCAUCACUUGAUGUCGAUGCGAUCAAGGUGAUAUCCAACUACAUGAUGUUCCUCCUUGUGGCGACACCCGACAUGCUACCAGGCCUCUCCCAGAACAGGUUAUAUCAACAAACCUGCGAAAAUCUAGUCAAGACUAGACGAUCGACGCAUAGGCGCCAACACAUGAACCUUUGUGCUAAGCUCAAGAAUCUCUUCCGCCUGCACGAUGACCCCGGUUCUAGUUCCAGGGUCGCCGACAGAGAGGAGCUUGCAAGAAUCCUAUGUGCGAGCAAAGGCUUCAGCCAUGAUACUCCUCGACUGUCCUAUGUAGUAAGACUUGCCAAGCAACUGCUAAGGCAAGAGAAAGAUGGAACGGCUGAUUCCUUGAAACUUGUCCUAGAUGUGUGGACGGAUAUUCUUGUCUAUGCAAGCAACAAAUGCAGCAGGAAGGCUCAUGCCGAGAAGCUCAGCACCGGCGGUGAGUUGACAACCAUCCUUUGGCUCAUGGCAGAACACUUCUAUCAACUUUAUUUGGAGGAACUUAUCCAGAACGAGAAGGAUAAGUUACCUGUAGUAGAAGGCACCAAUUAG